UUUUUUCCCCCCUAGCAAUUAGUUUUUUUAAAAGCCUGUAGAAAAUUAAAUUAAUAAUAUAUAUGAUAGUCUACAAAACCAAAGGUCAAUAAGAGGACUGGGAGGUGGGGAAGGUAGCCAUGAACUUUCUCCUGCAGGGUGGCUUAGUGGACCCCCCACGCAGGUUGCAGAGUGGAAAAUCACUGAGGUUUGUUGAAGGACGGGCAGCUUUUCCGGCAACACGUCUUGCAGGGACCCAUGUAUCACAUUCAAACCAGGAAGCAGAUGACAAAUCACAAGCAGAUGGAAACCCAUGAAUGGACUGUAUCUGAGGGAAAUAUUAAGAAACAGAGGCACAAAGACAUUGAGUGACUUGGCCAAGACCACACAGAAAGUCAAUGGUGGAGCUUGGCUUUCAACCCCAAACGCAGGCCCCGGCGUUGCAUUCCAGCUCACAUUCAGCCGCACAGGAUGUGAGUAGAACUUCCAGACUGUGCCCUCGAAGGGGAGAGGCUUGCUCUCCGUCGCCCCACUCUCCUUCCUAGAAAUCACCAUCUUCAACUACAGGAUGGAAGGCACAUGUAGAGGAGCCUGAGUGCCCAACACCAUAGGACCUUAGCCUUUCAGUCUGGACUCCUGAUGCUCAGCUUGUCACACACGAGAGAAGGAGACCUUUAUCUGACUUUCAUCUCUGGCAUUUGGGGAAGGAAGGGAAGUUACAUCCUAACUAACUUACCUUAGGUAAAGAGGGAGGUCGUGGAGGAAGAGACACAAUGUCUUUGAGCACCUACUGUCUACAGGCAUACCUGAGAUAUUGCGGGCUCGGUCCCAGGCCACUGCAAUAAAGGCAAGUUUCCACUUUACUUAUGAUCUCCGCCUCUGGACUGCGCCCAUCAAGCAGGCUCCUGUUUUCUCUCCGCCAGAUAGCAUCAGAGGGCAACAAUUGAAAGCGACUUCGGAACAAUUGUCCUUUUAUACAAGGUUUACCAUGUGACUUCAACUCCAUUCUCUCUUUUCUCUUAUGUUCCAACCACAUCUGGGUUCUAAUAAAGACCACGCGGAGACUCA